GAUCUUACUUAACUGCCGUGGCUAGCCUGGGAACUCGCGAUCCUCCUGCCUCAGCCUCCUGAGUCUCUGGGAUCACAGGUGUGAACCACCUCACCAGAGAAAGAGGCUGGAGACGAAGCGCGCCAGGGCCUCAUGGAUGUGUCUAGAAGAGGCCGAAGGAGCCCGGCUGGAAUGUGAUUGGAAUGUGAGCGCAGGAGGCCCGUGGGCGGAACACCGAAGGGCAUGUUUAUGGUCUGACUGUCUCCUCUGGACAAGAGUCAGACCACACUCUCUUUCUCCCAGAGGAGUAGUAAUGACCCAAAUCUUGGAUCUUCUGAGUUUUAAAUCGAGAGACCUCGACACCACAUUGCACAUUUUUUUUUUAAUAUCUAUUUUUUAGUUUUUGGUGGACACAACAUCUUUGCUUGUAUGUGGUGCUGAGGAUUGAACCCGGCCGCACGCAUGCCAGGCGAGUGCGCUACUGCUUGAGCCACAUCCCCAGCCCAAAUUGCACACUCUACCACCUCAUUCCUUUAGCACCUCCUGCUUUCCUAUACCCCUACGUGCACUUUCCUUCCGUGUGAACUUGCUUCCCUUAGCCAUACUGGACUUGAAAGGCCUCCUCCGUACUCUGUGUCCUGGACAGUCCUUUGCUCCAUCAUUACCUAGUCUGAGGAUGGAGCAGAGAGAAGAGUGGCUAAAACCUUGGACCGUCCUGAUUGCGUCCACCAGCUCUGCACCUUGGUCAGAUGGCUGUGGAGUGGGAACAGUAGUAGUAGCCAUCUCACAGUUGUUGGAAGGAGCAAAUGAUCGUUUCUUUCUUUUUUUUUUUGAGAAGGAUCUCACAGUUUUGCCCAGACUGGUUUCAAAUUCCUGGACUCGGGCAGUCCUCCUUGUCUCAGCCUUCCCAGUAGCUGGGGCGGCAGGUGUGUGCCUUCAUGGCUUAAAUGAGUUAAUACUGGUUAAGCAGCAGAACAGGGUGUGGGACGUAACACGAACUCAAUAAGCAGUAGUGUUGCCCAAAUGUCUGCUGAUCUGUCUCUUACACAAAAUCCUCUCUGACUAGUCUCACCCUGCCCACCUUGAUCCCUUACCUUACUCCUCAUUCCUAAGAAGAACACAUUGGGGACUCAAUUUACUCAAAUAGUACUGUUGAGACAGCUGCAGGAUAAAAGGAAGGAAACGACAUCUGGGUUCAAAUUUUGACCCACUAAGUACUGUGAGCCGUUGAGGGAGUUAUUUGAUUCUUUGUUUUGUCAUGAAUAAUAAAAUGAAUAUUUUAUUAUCUGAACAGGGUUAUUGUGAGGAGUGUUUAAGAAAUAUCUCUAUAGGUCCUGAUUCAUGGUGGAUCCUCAAUAAACACACUUGCUCUUUCAAAGUAUAUUAUUUAGAAAUUUUUUAAAAGUAUUUUUUAGUUGUAGAUGGAUGUCAUUUCAGUUACUUAUUUUUAUGUGGUGCUGAGGAUCGAACCCAGUGCCCCACAUGUGCUAGGCAAGUGUCCUACCACUGAGCCCCAGCCCCAGCCCUUACUUAGAGUUUUUGUUUUCUAGAUUAUAAAAGUAGAAUUGUGAUAGAAAAUUCAGAUAACUUAGCAGAGAAUGAAAUUAAAGUAAUAAAAAACAUAUCCGAAGACAACUUCCCCAGCCAGUAACUCUGAUGCUGGGAACUGAACAGAGCUGGGUGUAUUUCCUUUGUCUUCUUCUGUGUGUGUGCACACAUGUGCCUGUAGAUUCACAAGCAGGCACGGAUUUAUGAGAGAAAGGAGCCCCGUUAUGUCCUAAUUUUGCAGGCUGUUUUACUUUGCAUUGACAUUUCUCCAUCACAUUUAAUAGUCUUCCAAGUCAUGGUUUUUAUGAACAAUAGAGCAUCCUCCGUACCUCUCUUCAUUUUUCCAACCAUAACUCUGUUGUUGGACACCGAGGUUUUAAUUCGUUAUUCUAAAUUGUGCUGCAUCGAAUAUCUUUGUACAUGAAUUUUGUAAGUGUUUUUGAUUACUUUGUUUGGAGAUUCCUAGGGAUAAAAAUUCUGGGUCAAGUGGAGUCGGGGGAGGGGAUCAGGAAGAGGGAGGAAGAGAAGGAAAGGGAAGGUUCUAGGAACCAAAUUGACCGAAUUACAGUUAUAUUGCCACCUGUAUGAAUGUGUAACAAUGAACCCCUGUUACCUGUAAUUACAAUGCACCAAUAAAAAAGAGAAGGAAAAAAAAAAACUGGUCAAAGAAACGACAAUGAAGGGUCCCAGUACACGUUGCUUUCGUCUUCCCCAAAGGCUGGGUAGAUUCCUGUCAUCAUC